GGGCCUUUGUCUCUUAUCCCCGCCUGUCCGCCAAACUCGGCUGUGUCUCCGUUGUUCUUUCUCCUCUGCUCCGGGAGGCUCAGUGAUUGCCACAGCCUCUGUCACCCUGCAGAAUCUGUGGUUGGUACCCAGAUGGGAAUUGUUCCAGUUUCCUGGUACUUGGAUGAAGAACAAGGAGGAGGUCUGAAGAUACAAACUGGAACUAUUGACAUUCAGGGAUGUGGCCUCAGAAUUCUCUCCAGAGGAGUGGAUAUACCAAGAUUCUACUCAGAGGACUUUGUGUAGGGAUGUGAUGUUAGAAAACUACAGAAACCUGAUUUCUCUGGGUCUUGCUGUUUCUAAGCCAGACCUGAUCAUCUGUCUGGAGUAGAGGAAAGAGCCCUGGAAUAUGAAGAGACACGAGAAAGUAGCCAAACCCCAGGUAUUGAGAGUCCUGGAACUGGGUUCAAAGCUGUGGUUCAAAUCCCAGAUGACACUUUGUGCAUGUUAACUUCAUAAAGAAGAGCUUGGAAGAGUGAAGCGUAAACAAUUAUCCUUUAUUAUUCUUCACCCCUAAAGUCUCUCCUGAAUUUGUACCCUGUGUGGCAAAGAGAGCCAAGCUCCCUAAGAGUUCAGUUCUUGCCCAAGAUUUGUUUUACUUUUGCUUGGUUGCCCCUUCUGUCUUUGUUUCAUUUAAAACAAUAAUAAAAAAAGAACAGGUGAAGUGGAGACCCCCAAGAAAAGGGUCCUACCAACUCCCUAGGACUGGCACUGUGGGCACAAGUAGGUUUUCAAGGCUCUAGGACAGAAUUAAGAACAACAUCCACACAAGUUUUUUGGACACUUGUUUUCCUUUGUUUUUUUUUUUUUUUU